ACACAUUUCAUCACCUCUCAGAAGGGGUUAACAUCACAGAAUUCCAAGUCUGAGGGUGGAGCCCUGAUCCUGAGAAGGUUUUGUUGAGUUCGGGACAGUAUUUCUUUACCCAUCCUUCAUGAAGAUAAAAAAUGAGGCAAAAUAGACACUAAAAUGGUCUCUGACAUCUCCUCAUGCCACCAGACAAGGAGUAACCAUGGUAACAAGAAGCCUAGAAAAAUUGGGGAAUGAGGAAGACCAGGAAUGAGAGCUCCCCUCAGCCCUGGGGGGACCUGAGUGUCCACAGCUGAGCCUUCUCUGCUUCCCUUUUCUCUUCUGGAUUCUGAUGGAGGAUAUUUUCAUCUUCCUCCCAAAAUCAUCAGAAAGCAUAAGGACAUAUAUAAACCGCUUUGCAAAAAGAGAGUGUAUGGAAUAAAAGAGAAAAUGAAGAAGAGGAGAAAGGCUGGAGUGCAAUGGUGUGAUCUCAGCUCACUGCAGCCUCAACCUCCCUGGCUCAGGUGAUUCUCCCACCUCAGCUUCCUGAUUAACUGGGAUUACAGUAAUGGUGAAAUUGCCGGUAAUCGCUAAGUAAAAACCACUGAAGAACAGGACAGAAGCCAAUGACCACCUCACCUCCACCGAGUGCCCUGCAGAAAAAGGAAAUGGAAAUCCUUCCUGUUAUUCUCCGCGUCCCUUCGUAGAAGGCUGCCUGAGAGGUCAGCACAGGAGUCCUCUAAGUGCCCUGCAGAGAACACGGGUCUCGGAGCCGGACAAACCUAAAUUUUGAAACCCACUUUGAGUUUGAACUUGGCUGUGGGAAAGUUACACAAUCGCUCUAAGCCUCUGUUUUCUCAUCAGUAAAACAGAGAGGGGUUGCUUGUGUGAGAAGUGGCCGCUGCCAAUCAUCUGCGUGUCCUUCACUCUCCCAGGGGCCAUGGGUCUGUAUUCUACACAUGUGGGAUCUUCCUCUGGACCCUUCGGACAUGGUCCACACGCUGCCCUCAGGAUCUGCUGGGGUCUGCAUGGGGGGUGAGACGUGAACCCCAACCACGUUCACCACAGAGAGGAAACUGGGGGGAUGGAGGGGGGGACAAGGCCAGGUCACCUUCAGGUGCCGCCCGCCAGCAAGGCGGUUUGCACCCGGCUGAAUGAGCUUUAAAAAAGACAGUUUUUUCUGUAGUUUAGAAUCAUGGUUUCACUAAAUGGUGAAAUAAUUUUAUGCCACUUCCCCUACUAAUUACCAUCUCAUUGUUAUUAGAAAGGAUGGUUUCCUUGAAGUCUAGAAAAUUUUGUUCCAGUCCAUUUCAACGGUGCAGGAGAAACGUGGCUUCCAUUCCGAGGAAGACGGCGACACCUAGUGACCGUUCCCUCGCGGUGCGAUGGCCUCACACCUGUGCGGCGGGUCGUCCGGGGCGUAGGGUGCUGCGGCCUUGCGGUCUUCCCUGCGCUGCAAGGCAGGGCAUGGUGGCAGAUUAACACCUGGAUGAACACGGGCAGGUCAGGAGACAAAUAAAACCCAGAGGUCUUUGAAACUUCAAAAUCCCGUAGGGUGUGUGACCCCAGUGAGCCCCACGCUACAUCCAGCGAGAACCGAGAAGUGAUGGUGCAGACAUUCUUGGGUCCCCCAGACAGAACACACCGGGAGUUACUGCCUCUUUCUCAUCCCGAGUCCUCCUGACUUUCCCCAGCACCCAUCGUGGCUGCAGCCAGGACACAGGUAAAUGUAAUUUCCCUCCCCUUCCAUCCUCGCUUUCACAUCGGUGUGAUUGACUGAGGGCCUGCAGACUCUCUCCACGUGCGGGUGCCCUGCAGCCUGACACACAAAUGCGUUCAUCCUUCCCCUUUAUCCUGACCCCGAACUAAUGACGCAGCUUCCUGAGACACAGAGGAUGCUUCUCCUCGUCCCCCCUCGCGCUCUGAAGUGGGAAAAGAUGUGUUCCAUCUGUUCUGGAAUUUUCACUGUAAAGAAGAGAAUGAAUUUUAACUGUGUUUUUGACAUAUCCCUAAACAAGAAGUGGUUUAUAGAGUGAAACCAUUUUCCCUUCAUCUAAAAUUUAAAAAAAAAAAAAAAGAGAGAGAAAAGUGCAAGACUGAAGAUGUGUGUUGAGCGGGGUGAGGAAGCGUGGGGGACUCGGCGCUGGAGGAGCCCCGGGUGUGUUUAGGGUUUGUGGUCAGGGGCCCUGGGCACCAGGUCCAGUCUGAAGCACCCGGGGGGAUGGACGAUGUUUGUGUAAGAGAGGGACAAAGGGAUGGCAGGGUGGCCAAGCAGAGACGCGAUUCCCUCUGUGCCCUUCCUGGACCAGCUUUGUAUUCUAACAGCAACGUCUCUGUUCUUGGGAAGAGCUCCUCGGUGAUUACCUGCCCGCCCCUUGUCUCCUCUUAUUCCCGCUGCCACAGGGCAGGGCCGCCCAGCUCCAGCUCAGACACACACCUGCUCCAACUGCUGUGCUGGUCACAGGCCCAGAGCACCACGUGUCCUCUGGGGUCUGUGUGGUCGGCGCCGUGCGUGGGACCACUGUGAGUGACCCUCCUCUUGUGUCACAGAGCCACUGUACCCGUGUGCACCUGUGCUCUGAGACCUGGAUACCCCUGGAAGGACAGACACCGAGGACCCGAGUGCACUGGAGUCCCGCUCCCACAGAUCCUGCUGCUGGGAGAACUGUCAGCCAGGAACGGGACUGCGGUGGGGAAUUCCUUCUGUCAACACACUUUCUAAUCUAAGCUCCAGACUCCACUUCCAGACUAGCACAGGCUUUUUCCCCCACAUCUCCUUCUCUGCAGCCGGGGCUCCUGCCGGGUCUGCGGAGCCCAGAGCCAUGCUCUCUGCCGACUCCAUCUCCAGAUGCCUGCCCCGGCACCCACGCUGUUGCCAGGACACCAGUGAACCCAGACAGGGUGAGCAGGUUGCAGCAGGGUACCGGGAGGAAUGCCCGGCUGGCCCAUGUCUUGAAAUCAGUCUCAUUGAACAAUCCGGGAAAGAGAUGACCUAGCCUAUUCUAAGGCUAUCGAUGUGAAUUGGAUUCUUCCAUUUCCCCUGAA
ensembl:lncRNA LINC02668 long intergenic non-protein coding RNA 2668